rnacentral:tRNA from 1 species
AAGGGAGACCUAAUUCAGGUAGGAGACGAAAAAAAAGUAGUCGCUACCAAGAAUCAAUCCCAAAAGGCCGGAGCGAGGCGAAAUUGGCUUUCAAACUAGGUUCUGGGUUCACACAAGACCUGAAUCAGGAACAAGGGCUAUUAGCUCAGGUGGUUAGAGCGCACCCCUGAUAAGGGUGAGGUCCCUGGUUCGAGUCCAGGAUGGCCCACCUGUACAGGUGGCAAAAAGAAAGAAAAGAAGCGAGGAAUCAGCACCUUAUCUUACUGACAUAGUAAGAGAGAAUGCUGGCUCUGAGUAAAGAGUCCAGAGGAACCUUGAAAACUGCAUAGAGCUAGGUGAAAAAGCCAAAAAAGAAGACCGCAA